rnacentral:rRNA from 1 species
CCUACGGGUGGCAGCAGUGAGGAAUAUUGGUCAAUGGGCGCGAGCCUGAACCAGCCAAGUAGCGUGAAGGAUGACUGCCCUACGGGUUGUAAACUUCUUUUAUCAAGGAAUAAAGUGAGGCACGUGUGCCUUUUUGUAUGUACUUUAUGAAUAAGCAUCGGCUAACUCCGUGCCAGCAGCCGCGGUAAUACGGAGGAUCCGAGCGUUAUCCGGAUUUAUUGGGGUUAAAGGGAGCGUAGAUGGGUUGUUAAGUCAGUUGUGAAAGUUUGCGGCUCAACCGUCAAAUUGCAAUUGAUACUGGCAGGCUUGAGUACAGUUGAGGUAGGCGGAAUGCGUGGUGUAGCGGUGAAAUGCUUAGAUAUCACGAAGAACUCCGAUUGCGAAGGCAGCUUACUAAACUGACACUGACAUUGAGGCUCGAAAGUGUGGGUAUCAAACAGGAUUAGAUACCCGGGUAGUC